rnacentral:rRNA from 1 species
GCUGGCGGCGCGCCUAAUACAUGCAAGUCGAGCGAGAAAUCCGGGGCUUGCCCCGGGUGGACAGCGGCGAACGGGUGAGGAACACGUGAGAAACCUGCCCCGAAGACCGGGAUAACACCGGGAAACCGGUGCUAAUACCGGAUGUCCUCACCGGAUCGCAUGAUCCGGUGAGGAAAUGGAUUCCGCUUCGGGAUGGUCUCGCGGCCUAUCAGCUUGUUGGUGGGGUAACGGCCUACCAAGGCUUCGACGGGUAGCUGGUCUGAGAGGAUGUCCAGCCACACUGGGACUGAGACACGGCCCAGACUCCUACGGGAGGCAGCAGUAGGGAAUCUUGCGCAAUGGGCGAAAGCCUGACGCAGCGACGCCGCGUGCGGGAUGAAGGCCUUCGGGUUGUAAACCGCUUUCAGCAGGGACGAAAUUGACGGUACCUGCAGAAGAAGCUCCGGCCAACUACGUGCCAGCAGCCGCGGUA